ACAGUCUCAAGAUUUGAGCCCAAGGAUUCAGGAGCACUGAGCUUAGAGAAGAAAGGCCUCAGCUCUUUCAUAUAUCUACAGGCCUAAGAGGACUGGCAAAGACCAAAUCAAUAGUGGGAAGAAUCGAGUCAAGACAGAUGUCAUAACUGUAUUAAAGGUCAAUGAGGUUUAAACAAAUUGGACUCUACUCAUAAAUAAUUGACUCACCAUUUAUACCAAGGUACAGAUAAACCAUGGUGUAGAAAUCAUGCCUCUCUGGAUAGAAUGGAUGUUACUGCUCCUCCAGGUAAGAAAGUAGAAUUGGUAUUUUUCCAGACAUUGUGCUAAAAAGCUUACCUCAUUUAGUUCUUACCUUAAGUCCAACGGGUAUGUAUUAU
rnacentral:lncRNA from 1 species